rnacentral:lncRNA from 1 species
UCCAGGAACGGGUUUUUCUUCUGUAUUCAAGGUUCUUGGGCCAGAGUGCAGUGAACCAUAGAGAGCAGUUCUAAUAACUCCGUGGAGUGGGCACUUAUGGUAAGGCAGACAAACAGGGGAACUUACUGAAAGGAAACAGACAUGUAGGAUUUUUUUCAUUCCUUUAUUCUCUUCCUCUCUCUCUCUCUCUCUCUCUCUCUCUCUCUCUCUCUCUCUCUUUCUUCCUUUCACUAAAGUAGAAAUAGCACACUGAAACAGUAUUACAUGACCCUAUGUUUGAUUACACAGGGUUAAGGCUGGAGGACAUGACUCUGAGCAUCCCAUGGAAACUAUUGCCAAAACCCCAAAAUGUACUUGAGUUAUUUGAGGUAGAAACUACAUUUAUUUAUCUCUCCAAGAAAGUUUGUUGCUGUUGGAGAACACAUGUGUUUGUUAGCUGAUAAAUAUUUAGAGACCCAAGACUUGAAAUUUUUCAGGCAGGGAGAGUCAGAAAUGAUCAGGCUGGGUUUGUCCUAAGAUGCUCUCUGAAUUUUUCCUCCUCUGGAGUUUCAUGCCUAGUUUGUCACACAUCCUAGGGUUUGAUAUUUAAGAAGUUCUCUCUCUCUCUCUCUCUCUCUCUCUCACACACACACACACACACACACACACACACACACACACACAUUAGAAAAGCCUCUUUCCUCUUAAAGUUAGCUGGGUGGUAUGAUGCAAAGAGUAAAGAAAGAGAUGAACUUUUCAAUGCUGGCGAGAGCUAUUUUGACUUCUAUAUUUGCUAAUGAAAACCAAGAGUAUUAAACUAGAUGCUAAGGGGCCAAGUGCCGUCUCUUGCACAUUUAUUGUCUUAUGUACAUACUUGUGUGGCUUUGGAACCCUGAAGCCUUUUGAGUUUUCCUAAACACCUGAAGUGAAGGAGCUGCCUGGCUUAUGGGCUCUUUCCUUGGGGGCAAGAGCUGCAGAGGGGAAUGAGCUUUGGUUCUGGCUGGGGAGCAGCUAGAAAUACAGCAAGCCUUAUUUCCCAAGUUUUGAGAAGAAUGAAAAUGAAAGUGCCUUUUGAUUUAGAUUUUCUUUCUCUUCUUUCUUUCCUUUUUCUCCCUCCCCCUCAAACUGGUAGCUGCAAACUGUAGGGAGUGCACAUUCUCUCUCCAACAGCUCACAGAUAUAAAAAAGUAUGUGCAAACCAAAUGUGAAACUCUCAGCAUCACUUCUCAUUUGGGAAAGAUUCCUGUCAAAAUCUAUACAUCCAGUGUUUCCUGAAGAUUGGAAUUGUUGGCACUGCUUAUAUCAUUACAUUUUAAUCGCCAAGAAGAGUUUCAUUUAGAUGAUGCCAGCUGGAAAUGGUUUUGGGUAGUUGGGAUGCUCCACCAUUCUUUACCUCAGUUGUAUUUAUUCGUGUGUACACAUUUUACAAAGGUUUUGAGUUUGUGUGGAUGUGGAUCUCAAAGAAGUUUUUAAAGUUAACUCUUUCCCCACUGGGUCAAAUUUAAUUUAAUACUUAUUAAGGGAGCAUGCAAAUGAAAGUUCUUGAAAAAGGGGGUAUUCCUUUAAGUCCCAUAUACAAACACAAGACCGGUAAUCCCUUAACACAGACAGAUGUUUGCAGAUUGAAACCUCUUCAGUUUCAAUGAAUUAGAUAAUGGGCCCAAAUAUUUAAGAGCCAAGAAUGGAUCUGUUUGGUGCUCACAUACUUCUCUAGUUAACAAUAAGCAGUGCUGCAUGGCGGAUGUCAGUAUUCCACCUAUCUUCGAUAUACAUCUGCUCUAGUCAGUAAGGACUACACUGUUUGAUGUGCUGGCUACAGCAUUUUCACACUUGGGAGGACACCAGUUAUGUAUGCAAUUAAAUCUCAAUGGGAAGCCUUCUCUAUGCCUGUGACCACUCCUUUUACUGUGUCCCACUGAAAAGCAGUAUUAGAUUCAUACUGCCUAGAUGGCUUGAAAGCAAUGGCUGCUAACUUUGCUCCUGGUUGGAAACUUCAAAAGUCAGGGAUUAAAAGUAUAUGUCAACUUGCCUCUUCUAACCACUGUCUCAAUUUCUGUAUUAUUUUUCCUAUUGAUUUUUUUUAUUUCAUUAUUGCAGAAAUCAAGUUGGUGUUUCAGGGGAUAGAGAAAAAAUAAUAACUAAAAUACAAAGAUUAUCAACUGUAGUCAAAUGUCUGCGUAAUCUUAUUCUUCAGAGUGUUUCUCUCCAACCAGAGAACUCAUUGAUGUAUCUUUUUAGGAUUUAUUCUCUAGUUUAGUUCCUCUUUGAUGCCGGAGAUAAAUUAUCUUGUAAGGCAAUGUAAAAGCCCCCAUCACAUCCCUGUCUUCAUUACCCGCUCAGAAGUUCUGAAUAAAUGGCACAUGUUACCUCCAUCCCUGCUAAGGAGCUUUUGCAAGAAGGGCUCUUCUGAAAGUUACAGGACUCCUUACCGACUCUAUCAUUUCCUCUAUCAUCUCUUCCAAUUAAUACAGGAUAAUGAGGAGUCCCAUUUCCUGAGGAGGUGCAAACUGUCUCCACAUUUAAUUGGUAAGAAGCAGUUGAGGCAGGCCCUGGCUCACAGGGAGUGUCUAGCAUUAGCAAUCCUGAUCCUGUGUAUUUCUUUGAAACCUUUCGAAGUUCUGUUCCCACAGGGUCAAUCUCCUCUCAUUUUCUCAUACUUUUUCUGUUAAUCUGUCUUAGUAGUAUUGCUGUACUCGACUACCAGGGUAAAGUUCCAAGGUUUACCCAGGCUUUCAUGGUUCGAAGAUUUUUUUUCUCUUGUAGGAUUUUUCUCACUCCAAGUUUUCUUUCUCAUUCCACACACCUUGCUUUAAAAAUAGAUUAUUAAGAAAUCCAAGAAGAUAAAUGUUUCCACAAAGAUUCAGAUCCUUAAUACUUAGAAUAAUUAUUGAAUUUAACUCCUUAAUUUAAACGUCUUUCAUACACAGGAGACGUUUACAUUUCCUAGUGAUAUUUCGUAUUAUGUAAAUAAUUACAACCAAAGAACUCUACAGUAUUUUCAUUUAUUGACUCACAGCAGCCUUAUCGGAGCUCCGCUUUCUUUUAUAUAGACAAGGGAAUGAAAGGGGCUGAGUAAUGUAAACUUGCACAGCUUGAGGAUGACCUUGAAGGCUGGCUGCCUGUCACCGCGUGCUAACAUGGCCCCUACCAUGACUUAGGGACGUAGAAUUCACACGCUGUGCAGUUGUCAUUUUGGCUUUUAUUUGCCCCUUCCUGAAUCCUGGAGGAUGGUGAGUGAACUGUUCUGGAUGCUUCUCUCAGACCAUAGGAAGAUAUUGGACAUUAGUUUUGAGAGAAAGGAGAGAAUAAGGAGGGCAGACACAAUUUUGUUCACUAGACUGAAAAAAAAAAUAUGAGAAAUUACAUUCUUAAUGGAUUUAUAAGGCAGCAAACAAGCACCUAGAAUACAUUAAACAGAAAAUUCUGAAACAUGCUUACAGGAAGAAAGCUGAAGGUAUUUGUCAAAGGGAUAGAUGUGGCUCUGAGGAUGCCUUUUUGGGCCACAUUGACUAAUGGAAUCUGGGAGAAGUCUUGAACAUGCUUAAAGGAGGGCAGAACUACCUUUUGGACACCAGUUUUGAG